GCCAUGGUGGUUCAGUGGUAGAAUUCUCACCUUUCAUGAGGAAGACUUGGGUUAGAUUCCUACCCAAUGUA
rnacentral:tRNA from 1 species